rnacentral:rRNA from 1 species
AACGCUAGCUACAGGCUUAACACAUGCAAGUCGAGGGGCAUCAGGGUAGCAAUACCGCUGGCGACCGGCGCACGGGUGAGUAACACGUAUCCAACCUACCGUUAACUCGGGGAUAGCCUUUCGAAGGAAAGAUUAAUACCCGAUAGUAUAUUUUCUUCGCAUGUUGAAAAUAUUAAAGAAUUUCGGUUAUCGAUGGGGAUGCGUUCCAUUAGGCAGUUGGCGGGGUAACGGCCCACCAAACCUACGAUGGAUAGGGGUUCUGAGAGGAAGGUCCCCCACAUUGGAACUGAGACACGGUCCAAACUCCUACGGGAGGCAGCAGUGAGGAAUAUUGGUCAAUGGACGAAGGUCUGAACCAGCCAAGUAGCGUGAAGGAUGACUGCCCUAUGGGUUGUAAACUUCUUUUAUAUGGGAAUAAAGUUCUCCACGUGUGGAGUUUUGUAUGUACCAUUAUGAAUAAGCAUCGGCUAACUCCGUGCCAGCAGCCGCGGUAAUACGGAGGAUGCGAGCGUUAUCCGGAUUUAUUGGGUUUAAAGGGAGCGUAGGUGGACUGGUAAGUCAGUUGUGAAAGUUUGCGGCUCAACCGUAAAAUUGCAGUUGAUACUGUCAGUCUUGAGUACAGUAGAGGUGGGCGGAAUUCGUGGUGUAGCGGUGAAAUGCUUAGAUAUCACGAAGAACUCCGAUUG